AAGAGUCUCGCAGUGGACAUUUCAAAACUCUGACUGGUUAAAAUUGUAGCGUCUUGUAUACCUACAUGUCCCUAGAUUAUAAUUAACUGAUUGUUUAAAGUGUCUGUCUUUGUGGGUCAGCCCUGCGAUUGACUGGUAACCAGUCCCUGGUGUACUCCACCUCUUGCCCAUAGUCAGCUGAGAUGAUGGAUAAGCGGUAUAGAAAAUGGAUGGAUCCUUUAAAGUCAACAAUUUCUCCUUUUCUAGGUACAGAUAUUUCAGUAGGUGAGGAGGUUGCAAUUAAGUUGGAAUGUGUGAAGACUAAACACCCCCAGUUGCACAUCGAGAGCAAGAUCUACAAGAUGAUGCAAGGCGGAGGUGACGUAUCGGUGGGCAUUCCAACAAUAAAGUGGUGUGGAGCAGAAGGUGAUUACAAUGUAAUGGUGAUGGAGUUACUGGGGCCCAGCCUGGAGGAUCUCUUCAACUUUUGCUCCCACAAGUUCAGCCUCUAACUCAUUUGUCUGAUUGAUUCUGACCAGUCAGGGGAAAGGGACACAGGCCCUCUGGGGAUGGGGACUCCAGUGACAAUAUCCAGUUUGUAGCUGGUCUCCAUCUUGUAGUUCCUUGAUGAGCCUCCACAGUGCAACCAAGCAGGCAGACAAAGUCCUGAAGCAAUCAGAAAUAAUAAUACUACCAUUACUACUACUACCGCCACAGCUACCAAUGGAAGCCAGAAUGAUUGCUCACAGCAUUGCUGCCUCCCUCAGAAUUUUGUACAAGCUGUUUCUCUCUUUCUCUUUUUUGUGUGUUGGUCUUGACUACCCUAAACACUGAAGGAUGUCAGAUCUCAGGACUGUUCUUUAUCCACUUUUUCAGGAGACAUUUGCCUCACCACUACCACCACCAUCGCCACCAUUGUGAAUGGGCAGUUCUUUGUACAGGGCAAACAUGGCUUCCAAGCAGUCACUGACUGACAGAACAAUCAUUUAAUGCCACUGGCUUCUCCUCAUCAAUGAUCUUUUCCACUGUUGUUGUCUGAUAGUUCAUACCUGAUUAUAAAACAACUUUUUUCUCUUUGUUACUGUAAGGUUUAUCAGGCUAAACCAGCAGCUCUUCAGUGGAUAUUAUGAAUGCUUAGUUUUUUGAAUGUGAUGUUUUUCAUCGGUAUUUGCAGUUUCCAUCAACUCUUUCCACCAGUUUUUCAAAAUCACUACUAAUGAUAGCUCUCUUGCAUAACAUUACGCCCAUUCGAAUUAAAUAAAAAAGUACUUGCAUGUUUCACCGGUGAGUCUUCAGAGUCAGUUGUGAAGACUCAAAAGCUAGUUGAACCCUUGAAUGUGCCAAAAAUAUUCAUUGGUACCUUGGACGCAGGAGGCCAUGUAUUCGCCCAUUAGUUGUUGUUAUCUCUGUUCAUCUCUAGGCCCUGGUGUACUGUCCACUGAGCCCUGUUCUCUUUCUAGUGUUCUGUACAAAAGAUGUGCCCUUUCAGGGUAUGAUCUUGAUAUAUUUUACAAUCCUUAUUCCAAAAAUCUUGUGUCUGUAUAAAAUGUAAGUGAAGUCACAAGUACCUAUUUGAAAAUAUCAACACAUAACUUUAAAGAGAGAAGUUUUGCUUUGUUUGACAAGCUUGUAUGACAGCAAAUAGCUGACUUUUAUUGGUGCACUCUGUAAAAAUAACAAAACAAUUAAGAAAAGGCGAGUUUUAGGGCUUUUUCUUCUCUUUCUUGUGAUAAGUUUGUGGUAUAGUUAGUAUGAUUGGUCGAAAAAUGUCUCUGACAUAUUCAUUGGACACUGCAAAAUCAAACACUCUGCCUUUGAACAGACACUUAAGCCCAAUAUUUAGAUUUCUUCCCCUGGUUAAAAAUGUGACAUUCAAGGUCAAUUUUUCUCUUUUUUUGAAGCAUUCAUUUUUACCCCUGUCUUCACAACUACUAACACAAGGUGAGUGAGUCAACUUAGACAGUGCCCUCUGUUGGAAUCAAGUUGAAUGGUAGUACAGAGUCACUGUAGCUGCUCAUCUUGAGAUUCAUCACCAUAAUGCUGACUUUUUUAGUCAGUCACUUUUUCAUUUUUUUUAGUAGUUGUAGUAUUACUAUUUAUGUGUUUUAGUAAACAUUUUAUUUUUCUUUGUGGAUGUUUCCGGACAGAUUGAGAUGAUCCUUGGAUCAGUUGUAGUCCAGGGGCUCUAUUUUGCCUAUUUCUGUUGUAUACAUCUUUAACAAAGUGGUGAACCUGAAACGUGUUCACAUGUGGAAUGUUCUAAAUGUUUUUGUCUUU